UGGAUUCAUAACUGAUGCCAU
rnacentral:siRNA from 1 species